UAUAUAUAUCCGAAACUGAUCUCAGAUGGUGGUUAGAGAUAUGGAUACAGUAUAUGUAGACUAUAAAAAUACAUAUCUUAGUAUAUCCAUUGAAGCGGUGGUGCCUAGCCAUGUCACCCAAUUGUAAUGCGACUAAACUGAUGCACAAGGCAUCCGAAUCGCUCCAUUGAUGAAUCAUAUUCCCUGUAAUUAAUUUGGGGCAUAUUACUGGUGGUGUUCACCACUUGUAACAGUUAAUGCAAGUCCUAUUUUUACUUUUAGCAAUAUAUAUACUACUAUCAGAGC
rnacentral:lncRNA from 1 species